CCUACGGGAGGCAGCAGUGAGGAAUAUUGGUCAAUGGGCGCGAGCCUGAACCAGCCAAGUAGCGUGCAGGAUGCCGGCCCUAUGGGUUGUAAACUUCUUUUAUAAAGGGAUAAAGUGAGUCACGUGUGCCUUUUUGCAUGUACUUCAUGAAUAAGGACCGGCUAACUCCGUGCCAGCAGCCGCGGUAAUACGGAAGGUCCGAGCGUUAUCCGGAUUUAUUGGGUUUAAAGGGAGCGUAGAUGGCUUGUUAAGUGAGUUGUGAAAGUCUGCGGCUCAACCGUGAAAUUGCAGUUGAAACUGGCAGUCUUGAGUACAGUAGAGGUGGGCGGAAUUCGUGGUGUAGCGGUGAAAUGCUUAGAUAUCACGAAGAACUCCGAUUGCGAAGGCAGUUCACCGGACUGCAACUGACACUGAGGCUCGAAGGUGUGGGUAUCGAACAGGAUUAGAUACCCGUGUAGUC
rnacentral:rRNA from 1 species